UAUAUGAGGGGCCCUUAGCGUGAAGGGUGGAGAUUUAAUCUAAAGGACCAAGGGCGCUGAAUUUAGGCAUUGAGAAAGAGACAAAGGAAGAGAGGGCGCAAGUUUGUUAUGUGUAGGAAAAGAAGGAAAGGAGGGAGGCGCAACUUGGUGUGAAGAAACAAAGAAAAGAGGGGGCGUGAAUAAUUUUUAGCAUGAAGAAUGGGGAGG
rnacentral:lncRNA from 1 species